AGAGUUUGAUCCUGGCUCGAGGACGAACGCUGGCGGCGUGCUUAACACAUGCAAGUCGAACGGUGACCCAGGGCUUGCCCUGGUGAUCAGUGGCGAACGGGUGAGUAACACGUGGGCAACCUGCCCCUGACUUCGGGAUAAACUCCUCGAAAGAGGAGCUAAUACCGGAUACGACCACUUCGGACAUCCGAUGGUGGUGGAAAGUUUUUCGGUCAGGGAUGGGCCCGCGGCCUAUCAGCUAGUUGGUGGGGUAAUGGCCUACCAAGGCGACGACGGGUAGCCGGCCUGAGAGGGCGACCGGCCACACUGGGACUGAGACACGGCCCAGACUCCUACGGGAGGCAGCAGUGGGGAAUAUUGCGCAAUGGGCGAAAGCCUGACGCAGCGACGCCGCGUGAGGGAUGAAGGCCUUCGGGUUGUAAACCUCUUUCAGCAGGGACGAAGCGAAAGUGACGGUACCUGCAGAAGAAGCACCGGCUAACUACGUG
rnacentral:rRNA from 1 species